rnacentral:misc_RNA from 1 species
UCGAGACCCGAACGAACGGACGAUCGCGAACGUGUUACAUAUCCAAAACGACUUCGGUUCGUCCCCGUCGCCCCUCGCGGUGCGGCGUGGCGAGACGGAGGAAACGAAACCCCGGCGCGGUGGGCGCCAAGGAACACUUUUUACAAGCGCCGUCGCGGCCUCCUCCCCCACCUCUAUAUAUAGGGUGGAAGGAGGGGGAACGCGGGCGUGGAYAUAGAUAUCGUAUUCUGUACGACUCUCGGCAACGGAUAUCUAGGCUCUCGCAUCGAUGAAGAACGUAGCGAAAUGCGAUACUUGGUGUGAAUUGCAGAAUCCCGUGAACCAUCGAGUCUUUGAACGCAAGUUGCGCCCGAGGCCAUCCGGCCGAGGGCACGCCUGCCUGGGCGUCACGCCUCCCGUCGCUCCCCACACCCCGUGUGCGGAUGCGGAGAUUGGCCCACCGUGCCUCGUGCGCGGCGGGUCGAAGUGCCGGCCGUCGUCGGGCCGGGCGCGGCGAAUGGUGGACGAAUACUUCGUUGUUUGUGCCUACUCUCCGUGCCCCGGCCCCCAACAAUGCGACGUGCCGUCGUCGGACCCCUCACCAAGGAAGGACCCCUCUACUAAGGAUCCGUCCUCGGAACG